rnacentral:lncRNA from 1 species
ACCCCUUUGUGCAUGUACUUGAGUAUAUGUUUGUUGUUGAGUUGUGGGUUGCAUGUAUGAGGAAGUUGGGAGGUUGGUUGCAUGAGGCAGAGCAGGGUUCUGCCUUACUGGAGAACCCAGUUUCGGCCGCCGAAGGAAGGUUCGGCCGCCGAACAUGCUAAGUAGGUGGUUUCGGCUGCCUAAGCUCGCCCCUGAAAGUUUGGACUUUCGGC